CGUAGGGGCGAGCGUUGUCCGGAAUUAUUGGGGCGUAAAGAGCUCGUAGGCGGUUCGGCAAGUCACGUGUGAAAUCUCCACGCUCAACGUGGAGGCGCCACGUGAGACUGCUGUGACUCGAGUCCGGUAGGGGAGCGUGGAAUUCCCGGUGUAGCGGUGAAAUGCGCAGAGAUCGGGAGGAACACCCGUAGCGAAGGCGGCGCUCUGGGCCGGUACUGACGCUGAGGAGCGAAAAGCGUGGGGGAGCAAACAGGAUU
rnacentral:rRNA from 1 species